UACGUAGGGGGCUAGCGUUGUCCGGAAUCAUUGGGCGUAAAGCGCGUGUAGGCGGUCCGGUAAGUCCGCUGUGAAAGUCGGGGGCUCAACCCUCGGAUGCCGGUGGAUACUGUCGGGCUUGAGUACGGAAGAGGCGAGUGGAAUUCCUGGUGUAGCGGUGAAAUGCGGCAGAGUAUCAAGGAGGAACACCAAUUGCGAAGGCAGCUCGCUGGGACGUUACUGACGCUGAGACGCGAAAGCGUGGGGAGCAAACAGG
rnacentral:rRNA from 1 species